rnacentral:tRNA from 1 species
GGUUGUGGUUCAGUGGUAGAGCACUUGCCUAGCAUGCAUGAGGCACUGAGUUUGAUCCCUAGCACCA